rnacentral:misc_RNA from 1 species
UCUCCGUAGGUGAACCUGCGGAGGGAUCAUUACAGAGUCGAUGCCCUACCGGGUAGAUCUCCCACCCUAUGUUAUUAUUACUUUGUUGCUUUGGCGGGCCGUUAGGCUCCGGCCCGACUACCGGCCCCGGCUGGUAAGCGCCCACCAGAGGACCCAAAACCCUAAAUAUUAGUGUCGUCUGAGUACUAUAUAAUAGUUAAAACUUUCAACAACGGAUCUCUUGGUUCUG